GAGUCGACCCCUAAGGCGAGGCCGAAAGGCGUAGUCGAUGGGAAACAGGUUAAUAUUCCUGUACCUGGUGUUACUGCGAAGGGGGGACGGAGAAGGCUAUGUUGGCCGGGCGACGGUUGUCCCGGUUUAAGCGUGUAGGCUGGUUUUCCAGGCAAAUCCGGAAAAUCAAGGCUGAGGCGUGACGACGAGGCACUACGGUGCUGAAGCAACAAAUGCCCUGCUUCCAGGAAAAGCCUCUAAGCCUCAGGUAACAUCAGAUCGUACCCGAAACCGACACAGGUGGUCAGGUAGAGAAUACCAAGGCGCUUGAGAGAACCCGGGUGAAGGAACUAGGCAAAAUGGUGCCGUAACUUCGGGAGAAGGCACGCUGACACGUAGGUGAAGCGGUUUUACCCGUGGAGCUGAAGUCAGUCGAAGAUACCAGCUGGCUGCAACUGUUUAUUAAAAACACAGCACUGUGCAAACACGAAAGUGGACGUAUACGGUGUGACGCCUGCCCGGUGCCGGAAGGUUAAUUGAUGGGGUCAGCGCAAGCGAAGCUCCUGAUCGAAGCCCCGGUAAACGGCGGCCGUAACUAUAACGGUCCUAAGGUAGCGAAAUUCCUUGUCGGGUAAGUUCCGACCUGCACGAAUGGCGUAAUGAUGGCCAGGCUGUCUCCACCCGGGACUCAGUGAAAUUGAACUCGCUGUGAAGAUGCAGUGUACCCGCGGCAAGACGGAAAGACCCCGUGAACCUUUACUAUAGCUUGACACUGAACACUGGUCCUUGAUGUGCAGGAUAGGUGGGAGGCUUUGAAGUGUGGACGCCAGUCUGCAUGGAGCCGUCCUUGAAAUACCACCCUUUAAUGGCUGGUGUUCUAACGUAGACCCGUGAACCGGGUUGCGGACAGUGUCUGGUGGGUAGUUUGACUGGGGCGGUCUCCUCCUAAAGCGUAACGGAGGAGCACGAAGGUUGGCUAAUCCUGGUCGGACAUCAGGAGGUUAGUGCAAUGGCAUAAGCCAGCUUGACUGCGAGCGUGACGGCGCGAGCAGGUGCGAAAGCAGGUCAUAGUGAUCCGGUGGUUCUGAAUGGAAGGGCCAUCGCUCAACGGAUAAAAGGUACUCCGGGGAUAACAGGCUGAUACCGCCCAAGAGUUCAUAUCGACGGCGGUGUUUGGCACCUCGAUGUCGGCUCAUCACAUCCUGGGGCUGAAGUAGGUCCCAAGGGUAUGGCUGUUCGCCAUUUAAAGUGGUACGCGAGCUGGGUUUAGAACGUCGUGAGACAGUUCGGUCCCUAUCUGCCGUGGGCGCUGGAGAACUGAGGGGGGCUGCUCCUAGUACGAGAGGACCGGAGUGGACGCAUCACUGGUGUUCGGGUUGUCAUGCCAAUGGCACUGCCCGGUAGCUAAAUGCGGAAGAGAUAAGUGCUGAAAGC
rnacentral:rRNA from 1 species